rnacentral:sRNA from 1 species
GAGAGCCAUCUGGAUGUCACAUCAUCAGCCAACAUUGAUUCAGCUGAUCUGGCUACCUAGGCAGGUAUCCCCUUCCUUGUUUACCGCUCCCAUGUAUCUCUCCCAAAGCUGCAUUCUGGGUGAAAAAGGAUGACCAUCGCAGACCAAAAGAAUGUGCCAUUCUUCAGUUGAAGCUAUACCACAGUUAAUGAGGCACCAGUUGUGUCAAAACGAAUGAUGCCCUAAAAUAAAUGGGAAGGUCUGUGUCUUUAUCU